UUGGCGAAAGAGAUGGCGGUCUCGUUCAUUGUCGGAUGUUCUUGGAGAGGUGUAGCUUGAAGAUGUCAAUCCCGCUCUGCCGCUGGACUAGCGUGGAAUGCCGGCUGAUUCGAAAUGGCCGAAUGAGAAGUUGAGAAGAGAUUUUUAAAAGGUUCGUCUCGCGAGAGCUUACGUAUCUAACGCUUCUAUGAUUUGAUUGGACCGUCGACUAAACGUCAGCUUCCAGGAGGCGGGGCCAUUUAUGAUGAUGACGGAGAUGAAUGGCUCAAAGUUAGAAAGAUUCAAAGGGGAAGG